UACGUAGGGUGCAAGCGUUAAUCGGAAUUACUGGGCGUAAAGCGUGCGCAGGCGGUUUUGUAAGUUUGUCGUGAAAUCCCCGGGCUCAACCUGGGAACUGCAUUUGUGACUGCAUCGCUGGAGUGCGGCAGAGGGGGAUGGAAUUCCGCGUGUAGCAGUGAAAUGCGUAGAUAUGCGGAGGAACACCGAUGGCGAAGGCAGGUCUCUGGGCUGACACUGACGCUCAUGCACGAAAGCGUGGGGAGCAAACAGG
rnacentral:rRNA from 1 species